rnacentral:rRNA from 1 species
UACGAAGGGGGCUAGCGUUGUUCGGAAUUACUGGGCGUAAAGCGUGCGCAGGCGGCUUCUCAAGUCAGGGGUGAAAGCCCAGAGCUCAACUCUGGAAUUGCCUUUGAGACUGAGUGGCUUGAGUACGAGAGAGGUGAGUGGAAUUCCCAGUGUAGAGGUGAAAUUCGUAGAUAUUGGGAAGAACACCGGUGGCGAAGGCGGCUCACUGGCUCGUAACUGACGCU